CUGCACUCGCGCACUCCGGUUCUGAGUGUGCCCGCCACGGCACCCGACGACUGCUCGCCCCGUUCUGUUGGCC
rnacentral:sRNA from 1 species